GGACUUCACCACCUCUUCUCCUUCAUGCAGCUGCUAAAAUCCAAAAUGCUGGUGAAGCACGGCGCAGAGUAUCGGCAGAUCCUCAAGGACAGUCAAACUGAGAGAGCCUUCUGGGUCACCAACAUCAGCAAUAUCACAUCGCUGUUUGGGAAGUACUUCAACCCAUCCGAG